rnacentral:rRNA from 1 species
UACAGAGGUCCCAAGCGUUGUUCGGAUUCAUUGGGCGUAAAGGGUGCGUAGGCGGCGAGGUAAGUUGGAUGUGAAAUCCCGGGGCUCAACCCCGGAACUGCAUUCAAUACUGCUUUGCUAGAGUAUUGGAGAGGAGAUUGGAAUUCACGGUGUAGCAGUGAAAUGCGUAGAUAUCGUGAGGAAGACCAGUGGCGAAGGCGAAUCUCUGGACAAUAACUGACGCUGAGGCACGAAGGCUAGGGGAGCAAACGGG